GACGAACGCUGGCGGCGUGCCUAAUACAUGCAAGUCGAACGCAGUGGGGACGGGUGAGUAACACGUGGGUAACCUCCCAUCAGAGGGGAUAACACUUGGAAACAGGUGCUAAACCGAUACGGAUGGAGGGACCCGCGGUGCAUGAGCUAGUUGGUGAGGUAACGGCUCACCAAGGCCACGAUGCAUAGCUGGCCUGAGAGGGUGAUCGGCCACACUGGAACUGAGACACGGUCCAGACUCCUACGGGAGGCAGCAGUAGGGAAUCUUCGGCAAUGGACGAAAGUCUGACCGAGCAACGCCGCGUGAGUGAAGAAGGUUUUCGGAUCGUAAAGCUCUGUUGUUAGAGAAGCGGUAUCUAACGAAAAAGCCCCGGCUAACUACGUGCCAGCAGCCGCGGUAAUAC
rnacentral:rRNA from 1 species